UUUCUUUAAAAACUUCUUGGCUUUUUAUCAAUAGUUCUUUUUUUUUUACCAGUGCCUUGAAUUGGGGUGGGAGAUUCAAUAUUGUUUAACACAUUUAAAUGAAAUUAACUAACUUAAUUAAGUACAUCAUUCUCUCUAAACUCUUUCUUUGUCCGCCCCCCCCCCCCUCUUUCAAGUAUAUUUGAUUCAAACCAUAAUUUUUCAUGUUUUAGAUAUAGAUCAUAUGAGGACAUGCGCUAAUUUUAGAUCUCUCACUCUUUAUCCUACAGAUUUGUCUGAUAGCCGGUGCGGCCUGAUGCUUUGACUGAUCACCAACCAUCAUCCUUUCGAAGGGAGGACGACGAUGGUAGAGGGAGAGCACCUGUGCCUGGAUGCACACAUCUGUGUAGGAUGACAACUUCUAGUAUCAUGAAGCAUAUGAAGACAUCAUCACAUGAAGAUUUGUAUCGCAGUAUCUGUGGUCUUCAAGAAGCCGGAGGAAUUCCAUCUAGGAUCAGUAUGAAGUAGCUACAAUGAAAGAGGAGACAUUUCUUGACAUCGAACUUCAACACAGAGGAUGUCCAAAAAGCCAUUUGCAGCAUUCCUUCUGUCUUGAAAAUUUGUCCCUCUCGUAGUAUUUGCAUGGUCUCGUUAGCAUGAAUUCUUGUAUUG